UACGUAGGGGGCAAGCGUUGUCCGGAAUCAUUGGGCGUAAAGAGCGUGUAGGCGGCCCGGUAAGUCCGCUGUGAAAGUCCAGGGCUCAACCCUGGGAUGCCGGUGGAUACUGUCGGGCUCGAGUCCGGAAGAGGAGUGUGGAAUUCCUGGUGUAGCGGUGAAAUGCGCAGAUAUCAGGAGGAACACCCAUGGCGAAGGCAGCAAACUGGGCAUCAACUGACGCUGAGGCGCGAAAGCGUGGGGAGCAAACAGG
rnacentral:rRNA from 1 species